UUCCUGGUGGCUCAGAGGUUAAAGCAUCUGCCUGCAAUGCGGGAGACUCGGGUUCAAUCCCUGAGUUGGGAA
rnacentral:tRNA from 1 species